rnacentral:rRNA from 1 species
AUUGAACGCUGGCGGCAUGCCUUACACAUGCAAGUCGAACGGCAGCACGGGAGCAAUCCUGGUGGCGAGUGGCGAACGGGUGAGUAAUAUAUCGGAACGUGCCCAGUCGUGGGGGAUAACGUAGCGAAAGCUACGCUAAUACCGCAUACGAUCUAUGGAUGAAAGCGGGGGAUCGCAAGACCUCGCGCGAUUGGAGCGGCCGAUAUCAGAUUAGAUAGUUGGUGAGGUAAAGGCUCACCAAGCCGACGAUCUGUAGCUGGUCUGAGAGGACGACCAGCCACCCUGGGACUGAGACACGGCCCAGACUCCUACGGGAGGCAGCAGUGGGGAAUUUUGGACAAUGGGCGCAAGCCUGAUCCAGCAAUGCCGCGUGCAGGAUGAAGGCCUUCGGGUUGUAAACUGCUUUUGUACGGAGCGAAAAGGCUUCCACUAAUACUGGGGGCUCAUGACGGUACCGUAAGAAUAAGCACCGGCUAACUACGUGCCAGCAGCCGCCGUAACAC